rnacentral:rRNA from 1 species
UACAGAGGAUGCAAGCGUUAUCCGGAAUGAUUGGGCGUAAGCGUCUGUAGGUGGCUUUUUAAGUCCGCCGUCAAAUCCCAGGGCUCAACUCUGGACAGGCGGUGGAAACUACCAAGCUUGAGUACGGUAGGGGCAGGAGGGAAUUUCCGGUGGAGCGGUGAAAUGCGCAGAUAUCGGGAGGAACACCGGUGGCGAAGGCGGUUCUCUGGGCCUGUACUGACGCUGAGGAGCGAAAGCGUGGGAGCAA